AAAGGGGAAGAAGACCAUUAGCAGGAAGAUGAAAGGAGAUGUUUUGAAGCACAAAGUUUGCCCUAUUAUGCAGGAGUGUCUCUUAUUAUUCGUACGGAGCUUCUUUGGAGCAGCCUGCGUUUACGCUGAUGAGUGGCUUAAGGUGGGGUCCCUGGACAGCCUCAGGAUGGGGCCCGUCACAAAAACCAAGUAAUUAGAAAGUUGGAACUUUCAACCCCACCCACCAACUUCUGGAAAGGAGAAAGGGGCUGGGGGCUGCGCAUUAAACUCCAUAAAAUAAACUCUGGAACUAUGAGAUUUGAUGAGCUUCCAGACAGGGUCAUCCUCAGCCACUUGGGGCCACCUGCAUUCUUCAACAUAUUGUCCCUUCAUCUUCAAGCCAGCAACAGCAUGUCAAACCUUCUUGUGCUUCCCAUCUCUGACUUCCCUUCUGCUUCC